rnacentral:rRNA from 1 species
AGCAGCAGCCGCGGGAAUACGUAGGGUGCAAGCGUUAUCCGGAAUUAUUGGGCGUAAAGAGCUCGUAGGCGGUUUGUCGCGUCUGCUGUGAAAACUGGAGGCUCAACCUCCAGCCUGCAGUGGGUACGGGCAGACUAGAGUGCGGUAGGGGAGAUUGGAAUUCCUGGUGUAGCGGUGGAAUGCGCAGAUAUCAGGAGGAACACCGAUGGCGAAGGCAGAUCUCUGGGCCGUAACUGACGCUGAGGAGCGAAAGCGUGGGGAGCGAACAGGAUUAGACCCCGGUAGUCCCUGUCUCUUAUACAC